rnacentral:rRNA from 1 species
UACGUAGGGGGGCUAGCGUUGUCCGGAAUCAUUGGGCGUAAAGAGCGCGUAGGCGGCCAGAUAAGUCCGGUGUGAAAGUCACAGGCUCAACCUGUGAAUGCCGCUGGAAACUGUCUGGCUAGAGUCCGGAAGGGGCGAGUGGAAUUCCUGGUGUAGCGGUGAAAUGCGCAGAUAUCAGGAGGAACACCAAUGGCGAAGGCAGCUCGCUGGAACGGUACUGACGCUGAGGCGCGAAAGCGUGGGGGAGCAAACAGG